AAAGUCGUAACAAGGUAACCGUAGGUGAACCUGCGGUUGGAUCAUUAAAAAAUAACUUUCGAUCGGGAUUCAAAUCCCGAGAGAAAUCAACACCGUGUGCACCAUAUUUUGUCUUUGCCUCAUUUCCGUUGGACGCUUUGCGCGUCUAGUUGUGACUCGUAAAAACAGUCACGUCGGGGUGAGGCAACAGUGUAAAACCACUCUAUAAACAUUUGUCGUUCAUAUAAAAGCUAUUAAUUAUUUCACUUGUGAAGUAAAAAACAACUUUUGACAACGGAUCUCUUGGCUCUC
rnacentral:misc_RNA from 1 species